rnacentral:tRNA from 1 species
GGAAGAAUAGUCAUCGGUAAGACAAGGUAUCUACUAAAUAUUGUGUGUAAACACUUGAGUGUUCAAAUCACUCUUCUUCCG